GAGGAUAUAGCUCAGUUGGUAGAGCGCCUGCUUUGCAUGCACAAGGCCCGGGGUUCAAUCCCCAGCACCAACA
rnacentral:tRNA from 1 species